rnacentral:sRNA from 1 species
AUGUACCCACGUACACUCCGGUUCCUCCCCCCGUCCGCGACCACCUAACGACUGCUCGCUGCGUUUUGUUAACC